rnacentral:lncRNA from 1 species
AUUACUUGAGUUAUUUGUUUAUUGCUUACUAAAUACAAAGGAAAAUGAGCAACUUGGAUCAUCUUUAUAAUCUUAAGAAGGGAACUCCAAGUGGUUUUAUUUCUCUUCCCUCAUCUUUACAUGUUUACGAUCUAGCCAUUCUCUUCUUCUCUCCACUCUAACUCAAGCCAAACUUUUGUGCAAACAUUAACAUUGUUUUCAAAACUAGAAACCUAAGCACUAAGCCUUUGAUUUUUUUUUAACUCUUUUCAUAACACUUAUUUUGAAUUGAAUCUUAAGUCAACUUUGACCUUACUUUGUGAAUACUUUUCAUUUGUAAAUACAACUCACUCAAUUGUUUUUGUGGUUCCAAUGACCAUGUGUGUUAAAAGCUUUUCAUAAACAUUAGCUAUUAGGUUUGAGUUACCCUAGAGGUUGAUAUAAUACUCAUCUGUAUCCUUAGUGAUGGACUAUAAGUCUUCCAUGCUUAUUAUAGGGUUAACCCCUCACUAGCAUGUUGAAGCUCUCCUCACAUGGUGGAUUUGUGGUUCUAGGUUGAGUUUUCUCCCUUUGAUAACAUAUUAUAGGGUUAACCCCUCACUAGCAUGUUGAAGCUCUCCUCACAUGGUGGAUUUGUGGUUCUAGGUUGAGUUUUCUCCCUUUGAUAACAAAAGACCUUAAGGCUUUUGACCAAUCAACUCACCAACUUCUUUUGAGAUUUUUACCCCGAACUACGAGGUUUUGAUCCUACUUUUUUUGAGAUGGUACGUAGGUAAUGGGUUUAUCCAUUCAAACACCAAUUGUAAAUAAUUUGUAUAUUCUCUUCUCAUCUCCCCAAUCAUGUUUUCACAAAUACCAACCUACCUUACAACAUUUGUAAAAAGGGCUCCCUUAGAGUACUAAGGAUGUUUUGGGUGCUUAAAACCUUCCCAUUGCAUAACCAACCCCCUUACCGAGAUCUCUGACAUUUUUAUUAGUUUUUGACUUGAUAAAACUUCUCUGUUUUUGUUCGCUUUCUAACCUUUCCUUUGGAUAAAUAGAAGUACGGUGGCGACUCGAAUUCUAUGAUUUACUUUUGAUUUAGUCAAUAAGUCUAAAGGUAACGAAAACCCCGCUACAGAAAAGUGGCGACUCUGCUGGGGAACGAACCCAGAAUCUCUGGUUUCGCAAAAUUUGUGGCAAGUCCCGCACGAAACUGAUAUCUCAUGUCAAGACAACACUCGUGACAACUUGUGAUAACUCUAGAUUUAACCAAAAUUGAUGACAACACAUAGAACCAACCCAUUCUAUAACUGAGAUAAUUUCUCACUCGCUUCUGAGGUAAAAUAAUGUAAAAUAAUGAGAAUUUGAUUACAAGAAGAAUAUAUUUUUAUGAUAGACAAGUUUUAUGUGAUUUAUUUUUUAGAUGUGCUGAAGAGACAAACACAACACAAUGAUGUACCGAGAAGUUACAUAAUAAUUAUUAUAAUUUUAAGAUUUAUUUUACAAAUCUAUAAGGGCCAACAAUUAAAAAUUAAUAAAAGGUAAGGACGCACUUUUAUUUAUAAAUUAUAAAGUUACAAAAUAAUUUAUUAAAAAUAACGAGGAGAAAUAUGGUAGAAAUAAUAAAGUUUGCUUAUAUUGUGAUUAUAUUAUUCUUUCUAUUUCUUAUUGGAACGAAAAUUGAAGGUAAGUUUUAUUUAUUUAUUUUAAAUUUUCUUUUCUAUUUCAUACGUUGUAUUUUAUCUCAUUUUAAUAACCUUAUUGUUUGUUUUUUAGUGCACCAGAUAAAUUCAAAUGUUUUGAUUAUUGAGAUUGUAAAAUCAGAAUUCAUUGUUUGCCUCCUUUUAAAAAGAAAAUGCAUAAACAAAAUUUAUUGUAAAUAUAUACUAGCGCAUGAAUUGUUUAAUCCGAUAAGAUAAACAAAUACCUUUAUGAGUUUACAAAUUUAUUUUUUAAUUGAGAGAACACACAAAUACCUAAUAUAUUUUAUUUUAUGUAUUGUCAUAUGUCAUUUGGAUAUUGUAUUGUUACCCCCAACAAGAUAAUAUUUUUGUAAUUUUAUUUCAAGAAUCUAAUAGUUGGGGAUUUAUACACUAGUAUGAUUGAAAUGAAAUCAAAUAAGACAACAAAUAAUAAUAUUUUUACUAUCAUUUCCUUUUUAAUUUUAGAAAAAACUAAUAAUAUUUUGAUUGUCUUUUUCCCUUUUAAGGAUGCACUUUUAUUUAUAUCCUAUAAAGGUACAAAAUAAUUUACUAAAAAUGACGAGGAGAAAUAUGGUAGAAAUAAUAAAUUUUUCUUAUGUUAUGAUUAUAUUAUUCUUUCUAUUUGAAAAUUGAAGAUAAGUUUUAUUCAUUCAUUUGAAUUUUUCUUUUUUAUUUCAUAUGUUGUAUUUUUUAAUCAUUUUAAUAAGUUUAUUUUGUGUUUUUUAUUACAGCGGAUAGAUACAAAUGUUUUGAUGAUUCAGAUUGUAAAAAUAGAAUUUAUUGUCAGCCUCCUUUAAAAAGGAAAUGCAUAAACAAGAAUUAUUGUAAAUGUGUACUAGCGCGUGAAUUGCUUAAUCCCAGAAGAUAAAUAAAUACCUUUAUGAGUUUACAAUUUUAGUUUUUAAUUGAAAGACUCAAGAGAACACACAAACACCAUAUAUUUUGUGUUGUCAUAUGUCAUUUGGAUAUUGUAUUGUUACUCCAACAAUUUGAUUUUUUUUAUUUUAUUUCAAGAAUUUAAUAGUUGUGGAUUUAUAUACUAGUAUGAUUAUAGUGAAAUGAAAUUAGACAAAAAAUAAUAAUAUUUUUAUUGUUUUUUCCUUUUUAAUUUAAAAAAUAUAUUUUUUGAUUGUCUUUUUCCCUUUUAAUUUUAGAGAAAUAUUCAUGACCUUCAUUUAUGCAUAUCACAUUUUCUUUUUAAUCCUGUCACCUCUCUAUAUACUUAAAAAUUAAAUUCAAAAUAAUUCAAAAUUUACUUAUAAUUUUAUAAUUCUAUAUUUAUAUAAUAAUAUUGUAAAACAGGUGAUCUUUCUCUUUAUCAAUUUAUAUUUCUCUUAUUUUUAUAAUAGUUACGGUGGCCUUGUUCAAUUUUAAAAGAUCUGAACCAAUAAAAUUUCAAUACACGUAUAAUAACCUUUGAAAAAACUACGGAGAUAUAAUUAAUUGUUUACUUUUAUAAUAACCUUUGGAAAAACUUAUGGAGAUUAUAAUUAAGUGUUUACUUUUGUAUCUUGUAAGAGCAUAACAUUGAUAUUUUAGUAGAUUUUGUUUCACUUAUGAUCUUUGUAUUUUAUUCAUUCAAGACUUGUUAGUUCUUCUAUUAAUAAUUUUAUUUCUUCGUGUCAUAAAGUUUUUUAUCCAAACUUUACAUGAGUCUCAAAUAGAGGUUACAUGUUAGUCAAGAAAUUAUGCGAAAAGGAUGUGACCCUAGAACCUAUUCAAAAAUGGAGAGAGUUAAUAUGCUCAUUGCGGGCGAGUCGUCUACUCCCUAUUAUUAUUUUUACUUGCCUGUUAUCCUUAUCCACGAGUUGGAGACUCUGGUCCCUUUUACCUCUUUUGAGGCAGACUUUCUGGUGAUUAUUUACAUCGCCCCUUCCCAGAUUACCCCAAGGUAUGGAGCAUUCUUAUGGUUUUUGAUCGCGACUUAGUAAGUCUAUGUGAAUCGUGACUGCAAGUGCACAGUCCUAUCGCGUAGUUUUAAAGAUUAUUGAAUCCAUAAGGACUAAUAAUCGAACAUAUCAUUAUCUAAUGUUGUUAUGUAAAUCUAAGGCUGAUGAUUGUUCUAAGAUUGGAGGGAUGAAGAGAAAUAACUAUAACGUAAAUAGAAUAAAGAUAUGAGAUAUAGGGGAUAUUGGUAUGUAAUACAUCAAACUUCAGGGAUUCAAUAGAUAGUUGGUGAAAUCUUAUUGGUGAAAUCUUAUUGGUUAAAAUAUUCUUCAGUUGAAAUUAUUUAAAGAAAGGACUUAGUCUCA